ensembl:snRNA U6 U6 spliceosomal RNA
GUCCUUCUGCCAGGAAUCUGGAGAAAGUUGGAUUUAUACAGAGAAGAUUAGCAUGGCCCAUCCGCAAGGAUAACAUGCAAAUCUAUGUAGUUGUCACGACCACC